rnacentral:rRNA from 1 species
CACCUACGGGGGGCUGCAGUCGAGAAUCUUCCGCAAUGGACGAAAGUCUGACGGAGCGACGCCGCGUGCGGGAUGAAGGCCCUUGGGUUGUAAACCGCUGUCAGAGGGGAUGAAAUCUUCGGAGGUACUCCUCCGGAGUUGACAGAGCCUCAAAGGAAGCACGGGCUAAGUACGUGCCAGCAGCCGCGGUAACACGUACUGUGCGAACGUUAUUCGGAAUCACUGGGCUUAAAGGGUGCGUAGGCGGCGAUUCAAGUCAGAUGUGAAAUGCCUGAGCUCAACUGAGGCAUUGCGUUUGAAACUGAAUUGCUAGAGUAUUUCAGGGGUGUGCGGAACUGCCAGUGGAACGGUGAAAUGUGUUGAUAUUGGCAGGAACACCGGAGGCGAAAGCGGCACACUGGGGAAUAACUGACGCUGAGGCACGAAAGCCAAGGGAGCGAACGGGAUUAGAUACCCGGGUAGUCCUC